GCCCAUUAAUUAUAAUGAGAAGCAGGGGAUCUCCAUGUCAGCCCGAAGGGGACCUUUGGCCAAUGGCAUCAUGUCCCGGUUACCAGAGGAUGUCGAGCAUCAUACUUUGUUUGCAGCAGAUAUAUGAUCUACCAAGAUCAUAUAUUUUCUCAGUAGAGCUUCAUGGCAUCUUUGAGAGCACUAAAAAUGACAAAACUAUAUUUGAAAAUGACCUGCACCAGUCCCUUGCCUGAGCCACAUGGAGUGUACCCUGAAAGAUCUCUACACACUGUUUGAGGGGGCAUAAGUGCUUUUUUUCCUGUUAGCGCUGCAUGUGAAUGAAUAUCAUCAAAAAGCCAAAAGUUCGAGAGUGGAUCUUGGGAAAUACCUGGAGUAAAAAUAAAAGUGGAGAAAGAAAAGGAAGAAAUAGUCAAAAGCAUGAAAGAAAAACAGCCCAAGAAGCUAUGGAAAGAGCUGACACUGAAUCUUCCCAGACAGACUUCUCCACUUACCUCUCAACACAGCUUUGUGCUCCAGUUCUAGAAAUGCAGCUGGGAAACAAGGAUAUGUGAGAAAGUGACCUGCCCUUGGCUCCUGCACCCUCAGCUGAAUAAACUAAAUCUCUAGAGGUGUUCAUGUGAGCUCAUUCCCCUGAGCACCCAAUGCCCAGUUGUCUGUUUCUAGACAGCAUUUGAAAAAUAGCAAAUUCAAAUUCUACUCUGGCCCUUCCAACCUAUACAUGUGAUCUGGUUUCAGUACUAUCAGUUUUAUCUCACAUGACAAUCGUUACAAUGCACGUUUCAGGUGACUUUUCCGUAGCCCAUUACUAAGGUCUCUGAGGGACGAUCCUUUCACAUGACUUGAGUUUCUGCGCCCACUAUUGCACCCCACAUGGACACCUCCAAAAGCCAGUCCUGGGAGACAGCUGACCCAGCCAGGUGUGACUAACGCUUUUGUAUAUCUCAGGAAACAGAUGCCUUAUUUGGAUUUCCCACUGGUCUGGAAUAAAAGC
rnacentral:lncRNA from 1 species